rnacentral:rRNA from 1 species
GAUGAACGCUGGCGGCGUGCCUAAUACAUGCAAGUCGAGCGAACAGAUGAGAAGCUUGCUUCUCUGAUGUUAGCGGCGGACGGGUGAGUAACACGUGGGUAACCUACCUAUAAGACUGGGAUAACUCCGGGAAACCGGGGCUAAUACCGGAUCAUAUUUUGAACCGCAUGGUUCGAUAGUGAAAGACGGUUUCGGCUGUCACUUAUAGAUGGACCCGCGCCGUAGUAGCUAGUUGGUAAGGUAACGGCUUACCAAGGCGACGAUACGUAGACGGCCUGAGAGGGUGAUCGGCCACACGGGAACUGAGACACGGUCCAGACUCCUACGGGAGGCAGCAGUAGGGAAUCUUCCGCAAUGGGCGAAAGCCUGACGGAGCAACGCCGCGUGAGUGAUGAAGGUCUUCGGAUCGUAAAACUCUGUUGUUAGGGAAGAACAAAUUUGUUAGUAACUGAACAAGUCUUGACGGUACCUAACCAGAAAGCCACGGCUAACUACGUGCCAGCCGCCGCUGUAA